rnacentral:rRNA from 1 species
AGUUUGAUUCUGGCUCGGAUUGAACGCUGGCGGGAUGCUUUACACAUGCAAGUCGAACGGCAGCACGGACUUCGGUCUGGUGGCGAGUGGCGAACGGGUGAGUAAUGUAUCGGAACGUGCCUAGUAGCGGGGAUAACUACGCGAAAGCGUAGCUAAUACCGCAUACGCCCUUCGGGGAAAGCGGGGGGACCUUCGGGCCUCGCACUAUUAGAGCGGCCGAUAUCGGAUUAGCUAGUUGGUAACGGCUCAACCAAGGCGACGAUCCGUAGCUGGUUUGAGAGGACGACCAGCCACACUGACUGGAGGAUGGCCCAGACUCCUACGGGAGGCAGCAGGGGGAAUUUUGACAAUGGGAAACCCCGAUCCAGGCCAUCCCGCGUGUGCGAUGAAGGCCUUCGGGUUGUAAAGCACUUUUGGCAGGAAAGAAACGGCACGGGAUAAUACCCCGUGCAACUGACGGUACCUGCAGAAUAAGCACCGGCUAACUACGCCAGCAGCCGCGGUAAUGUAGGGUGCAAGCGUUAAUCGGAAUUACUGGGCGUAAAGCGUGCGCAGGCGGUUCGGAAAGAAAGAUGUGAAAUCCCAGAGCUUAACUUUGGAACUGCAUUUUUAACUACCGAGCUAGAGUGUCAGAGGGAGGUGGAAUUCCGCGUGUAGCAGUGAAAUGCGUAGAUAUGCGGAGGAACACCGAUGGCGAAGGCAGCCUCCUGGGAUAACACUGACGUGCUCAUGCACGAAAGCGUGGGGAGCAAAACAGGAUUAGAUACCCUGGUAGUCCACGCCCUAAACGGUGUCAACUAGCUGUUGGGGCCUUCGGGCCUUGGUAGCGCAGCUAACGCGAGAAGUUGACCGCCUGGGGAGUACGGUCGCAAGAUUAAAACUCAAAGGAAUUGAUUUGGACCCGCACAAGCGGUGGAUGAUGUGGAUUAAUUCGAUGCAAACGCGAAAAACCUUACCUACCCUUGACAUGUCUGGAAUCCCGAAGAGAUUUGGGAGUGCUCGCAAGAGAACCGGAACACAGGUGCUGCAUGGCUGUCGUCAGCUCGUGUCGUGAGAUGUUGGGUUAAGUCCCGCAACGAGCGCAACCUUGUCAUUAGUUGCUACGAAAGGGCACUCUAAUGAGACUGCCGGUGACAAACCGGAGGAAGGUGGGGAUGACGUCAAGUCCUCAUGGCCCUUAAGUGGUAGGGCUUCACACGUCAUACAAUGGUCGGGACAGAGGGUCGCCAACCCGCGAGGGAGCCAAUCCCAGAAACCCGAUCGUAGUCCGGAUCGCAGUCUGCAACUCGACUGCGUGAAGUCGGAAUCGCUAGUAAUCGCGGAUCAGUACAAUGCGGUGAAUACGUUCCCGGGUCUUGUACACACCGCCCGUCACACCAUGGGAGUGGGUUUUACCAGAAGUAGUUAGCCUAACCGCAAGGAGGGCGAUUACCACGGUAGGAUUCAUGACUGGGGUGAAGUCGUAACAAGCGGUAG